rnacentral:rRNA from 1 species
AUUGAACGCUGGCGGCAUGCCUUACACAUGCAAGUCGAACGGCAGCACGGGAGCAAUCCUGGUGGCGAGUGGCGAACGGGUGAGUAAUAUAUCGGAACGUGCCCAGUCGUGGGGAUAACGUAGCGAAAGCUACGCUAAUACCGCAUACGAUCUACGGAUGAAAGCGGGGGGAUCGCAAGACCUCGCGCGAUUGGAGCGGCCGAUAUCAGAUUAGGUAGUUGGUGAGGUAAAGGCUCACCAAGCCGACGAUCUGUAGCUGGUCUGAGAGGACGACCAGCCACACUGGGACUGAGACACGGCCCAGACUCCUACGGGAGGCAGCAGUGGGGAAUUUUGGGACAAUGGGCGCAAGCCUGAUCCAGCAAUGCCGCGUGCAGGAUGAAGGCCUUGGUUGUAAUGCUUUGUUACGGUAACGUAAACGGUAC